CGCCGCCAGGUGCAGCGCACCACGCGAGGGGAAAACCACCGCACCGCGCGAGAGACGCGCUCAACAUGCAGGCCGUGGUGAGCCCCGCGCCCGUCCGCUUUCUCCUCCAUCCCCGUUCCCUCGUCUCCAACCCUAAUUCUUUUCCCCCUCCCCUACAGCCGCCUUUCCAAGCUCCUCAUCCCCUCCACUCCCUCGACAACGGUGGCGGCGGCACCCUCUGGUGGCGGAGGAGGAGGGGGGAGAUGGUGGCGGCGGCGCCCUCUGGUGGCGGAGGAGGAGGGGGGAGAUGGUGGCACAUCGGCGACCUUCCCCUCACACAUCCCAUCCCCCCUCGUCAUCCCGGAUCCCACCGGACCUGAGGCGUGCGGGCGCGGCAGCGACCUGCAAGGGAAGGGCGACGCUCGAAUAGAUCUAGCGCCAUGGAUCGGUCCUUGCGGAAGAAAGAGAAAAUGAGGAGCCGGGGUUGCUGAUCCGGCCGGCCCAAAUCAACACGCCUCCUCCUUCCGCCACCUCGCCCCACCAGCUUCCAGCGUUGUGGAUCCGCCGAGGAUGGAGGGCAGCAAGUGAGAGGGAGCAGGAGAAGAGGUGAUCUUUCUUCAUGCUGGGGUGGAGGAGCAGGGAUAGUUUGGAGGCCGGUGGUGGAGGGAAGGAGUCGCGGGGUGGAGGAGAGGUUGGUGCCAGGUCCAAGGAGCAGCGGGGGCAGAGCACCAGGAGGCGCUCCCAUUGCGAUGGGUGGAGCUGCAGAGGAGGGGAGGAGGAGGAUGCCGGGCUCAGCCACGAAGACGGCUCGGUCAGGUCGCGACGCAACAUCCGCCACUUCUGCUGGGCGUCGUCCCCUUUUUCCUCGGAAUCAAAUAGACCAGAUCAAUACUUGCCAGGGUGGAAUCUGCUGCUGCUGCACUGGUUGGUAAUUUGACAUACUACGGCCAGUGGUUGACAAUGAACCAUAAGGAGAAGAAGAACAUGCCAAAAGAUAGAUUGAGCAGCAGCAAGAAGGUGAAGCACCAGGGAGAUGCACAUGGCAUGCCGAAAACGUUGGGUGACCUCGGCCAGCGUUGGCUGUCCUUGCUGGCGACCUCGCCGUCUCCAACCCACCUCCAGCGGCCUGACGACACAGAGAAGAAUGGCAGACACUGAGGAUUUUGGCGGCAAUUUUUCUAAUUCGUUUUUACCUCAUGGAUUCUCAUUUAUCUCUCUAACUUCCAUUUACUCAAGACAAUUAUGGCUCUGGUAGAGAUCUAUUUUGUUCUGUUCUUUGUUAUAUGAUACAACCCAAGGAAACCGAGGCAACUAAUUUAUGCAUGCAAAUGGUUGGUUUAAAGAUCGAAGGCUCAUAUCUAGAUGGUUUUCUUCACAGCUCCAAGAUGAAGUAAAAGAAAAGCUUAUAACAGAAGAAACAUAGUUUGAUGGGCGUCCUUGCCAGUGGCAUCGCAGUCUCCAACCCGUCCGCGGGUAUUUCAGCUCCGUCCCAUUCAGUUUACUCCUUUUUGAUUUUUUUUCCUACUUGAGCCUUGGAGAUUGCUAAUGGAAAUUUCUCUGGUGAGUUUUGCUUGUACCAUUGGUGCAGAGGAUGUCUUGCUGAACAUAGUUUUUAGUUCUUGAUCUUUUUUCAUAUAAGAAAUCCAAAUACAGUAAUGGCUCUUUCUGGGAGCAAGGCUGUCAUAUAAGGGGAAAAUUUUAGAAGCUAAGCGACCAUAAUUUAAAUCAUGUGUGCCUUGUUUGCUUCCUUAUUGUUAUAUUGCAUUAGAGAUCUUUAGUAUUUUGACUUUCUAAAAAUGCAGAGCAGAUCUUCCGUAUUUUCAAUUUUCAGUUACAUUUGGUCACGAGUUGUGAGAUGCAUAUAAUAUUAGCUUACUUCACAACCAUUCAUGUGGUUUAUUCGGUUUGGUUGGUCGCUGCUGGUACUUUCAUACCAUUUGGUUAUGUGGCAGUGUGUGCUUUUUGUGUCUGCCCAAAUCCAAACUGCGCGUGGGGGCGGGUGUUCUCAUCCAGGCCUGGGCGUCCUUGCCGGCGACUACUUGCUGUCUAACCCAUCCACAGGUGUACCAAUUCAUUUCCGUCUCUUCGAUUUUCCUGUCCAAGUCCAUGCUUUGGUUUAUCUUAGUUGGCGUGAGAGGUGCAAAUGCGAGGAUAGACUAUGCUAUAGUUCUUCAAUUUCUUCUUGUUAAAAGAAAUAGUCUACCUGACUGCCAUUCCGCUUCGAGUAAAUCUGUUAUUAUAAUAUAUUUUUCCAUGAAAUAUGGUCUCAUUGUUGCUUCUUGAGUAAAUCUUUCUGCGAAAUCAAGAAUUUCAGCAGAGAGUAAUAGCCGUCCGGGACACAAAAAUUUGAAGUAUAGGGCAAGCAUUCUAAUUGUUCACACAUGAAGUAAUACUCUUGCAAGAGCUACACACUAAGUACUUUAAUUAUAAUCUUUUACGCUCAGGAAAAAGAUUCAACCUACAAAUCUUGAAAGCAUUUUUUGAAAUGUUUUUGCUGAGUACCUUAGAAAUCCAAUAGAAAAGGCUAAUAAGCAAAAUUUCCUGCUUAGUUAUAGUUCUGUGAUUCAUUGCUAAUAAUCGUGCUUCUAUACGGCCCUUGAAGGAUUUCCAGGUGCUGUUCGAUGGAAUGCUCAGUGGGAUGUGUGAAUUUUAUGGUCAGAUUUUCCUGCCAGGUUGAAUAGCUGAUGCAGUGCAUUGAGUGUUUUCCAUCUACCAGAUUUUUCCUAAUCGUUAUGCAGGCUUGUGGAUGUUUUGGUCGAGCUUGUGCUUGGAUUAUAAAUGUGACGUUUUUAGCUCUGUGAAAGUAAAGAUGCCUCGAUAUAAUUUGUGCCCAUAAUACAUGUUUUUUUAAUGAUAAGAUGUAUCACAUAUGCUGCAGGUUUUGUAUGAAUUUCCAUUCCGACCUUUCUUGAUCUCAACUGCUCUUAAUUUGUUUUAUUGUUCCACCAAUUUUGUUUGUGCAAAAUCUACCAGCCCACAAUUUUCUUUUGCUUUUGUUAAACCAUUGGCUCCUAGAAUGUUUGUUUAUAUAAGAUGAUUCUGAGGGAAAGAGUUCUAUCUAUUCUGUGGAGCGGAAUAGAUGUUUCUGUUGAGUUUGGAUUUGCUAUGAAGAAGAUUUACUGUUGCCUGAUCUACGACUUGGAAGAAAUACAAACUUGAACUUUCCUACGAAAGCAUAUGGGAGAUCCUAUUUCAUCGUCCACCUGGGAUGCCAAAACAGUUCCUUCUGAUGCAGUCGAUCCACACAGGCUGGGUCUGCCGUGCCAAUGUGCGAGAAGCAUUCGCCAAUCGCCGCGUGUUUGAUGUACAGGACGUGGGAAAACCCUGGAUGCCAAUCCCCUCUUGUCUGUGGUGAAGAUGGUUGAACCAGAGCAGAUCAAUUGUUGCAUAUUUUUAUACCACUCGAUCCAUAUGUUUCAUCAUCUGCGGAACACCAGAGAAGGGAUAUGUUGUUGUACAUGAGGUAUUAAUAAAGUUUCGCGUUCUUUGUUCUGGUGGAUUUGGUGCGUUGGGUUGCCAUGUAUGCUGAAUAUAUUUUCCUUAGAUUGCUCUUGUGUUUUUGGUGCAAAUUGAUCACAGAGGGCCUAGGAGGGUAAUUCUAACAAGUGGUGCUCUAAUAUUCACUUAUUCAGUUGCGUUCUGGAAUGACCUCUUUCUGCUUCCUCUUGUAAGCUUUCGUUUAUUUCGUUUGUCUGCUGUUUUCUUCCUUCUGUAUUUUUUUUCCUUUCUUUGGUGCUGGCGGCCAAAUUCAGAGGCUAAUUUGUUUCCUUUCAAGGAGGAAGUAAUAUAUGAGUUUUCUUUUCACUUCCUUGCUUUUGCUUAAAUACAAUUGCUUGUUUAUCGACAAAGGAAUCAGCUGAGAUUCGCUUUUGUUCUGCAAAUGGGAUUCAAAUCAAAUUUCAGUUUAACAUUUUCUAGACCGACAUUUUCCUGAAAAUAUUCUUGGCUGCUUUGGUGGUAAGCAUACUGAAGGUAGUAUUCCAUUGUCACUGACAUUUUACAGUUAAAUGUAUUUCUAAUUAAGUUUCUACAUAAAUAUGGUUGUCGAGUAGCAUCAUUGAUUUAUUAUAAGGUACUCCCUCUGUAAACUAAUAUAAAAGCGUUUAGAUCACGACUUUAGUAUUCUAAACGCUCUUAUAUUAGUUUACGGAGGGAGUACUUAUUGCUAUUAGUGUCCCUUUCUACAUACUGAUGGGAUAGUCAAUUAGGUUCAUCAUGAUGGACGUUUACAGCACCAUAAUUGUUGGAUGCCCUUUUUUUAUCAAGUGGUUAUAAAUUCUGUCAAACCCAUGUCUUUUCAUGAUUUUCUAACAUGAAAGUAGUCACUUCCUGGAUAUCAGAGUAUGCACAUAGAACUGAACCGCUUAUCGCCUCAUGUUUUGCUAGAGAAAAAUCAAGCACGAGACAUGUGUUAGGAUGAUGGAUUUCAUAUUAAAAAGACGGAUGUAAUAUAAGAGCACUUGGAAUGAGCACUUGGAAUGCAGUAGACAUAUGUUUAUAGUAGUGUAAUUGUAGGAUUCCUGAUUUGUGGUGCAUAGACCACCUGGAUUAAUUAGUUUUUGUAGUUCCUGUAUUUUAUUUCUUACUAAAAUUUUCUGGGUCGUUUCAAAAUUUCUGCUCUACACAGAAUCUUAAGAAGUUUGGAUAUGCACACAGGUCCUAAUAAUAAUGAGCUGUUUAGUGCAAUGCAUGUGGCAUGAUUACUUCUUCUCUUUUCUUUUUUAUGUUGUACGUUCUUGGAGGUCGCCAUUUCUCUCUUCUGUUGAUCAAGUUUUCUUCUUCUUUCUUCUGCUUAUCAGGGUUUCUUCCUUUCCUUUUUUUCUGAAAAUUGCAUUUAUUGUGUGACCUAUGUAUUGUCAUUAUUCUUGCUUCAUUGGUCGUGUUGAUAUUCUGGGUUUGGCCCGACAUUGUGUUUUCUUUUGCCUCAUGCCAUUCAUAUUUUGUGGUUGCGUGUGGACAUGAUUUGCGCACUUAUUUCAAUUGUUAGCCGUGUAUCAUGGUGUGCUUUGCCUGCUUUUUCAUGCUUGUGUGAAUUGACCAUGGUCUGUUCUUGUUGGGGGUAAAGCCUGAACUGCCGGGUACACUUUGCUUAUUGUCCUUAUUCUGGUUGUCCUUGGCAUCUUUCUAUCAGUGGAGAUCCUUGUCUUCAAAUAGUAGGGAUAGAGGGACAGAAAAGACAUAUUUGUCGCGGCGCUGCAAGUGUUGCCCCCCUCCUCCCCAAGGGCAAGGUGAAGGAAGGUGCCUGUGUGGUUCUUCUGCAGUUCACAGCGAGGAUUGCUGUGUCCAACCUGCACAAGAAUGCCAAGAAAUCCUUCUCGGAGAUGAUUAAGGACAUGUACCUGCACUACAACGAGAGAUCUGGGCUGCUUCUUUGUGGCUUCCAAACUUGAAAUGUUUGUUUGGAAGUUAGUUUAGGUUUUUUUGUGGAUUCACAGCUUCUCACAUGUACCAUCCUCUUAGACCUUUAGAUUUCCAAAGAAACUAAAUGGAGAUAUGGUGGUAUGGUCUCAAUAGUACAACUUAAAGCCUUCCAUGCUU